CAAUAGCGUAUAUUAAAGUUGUUGCAGUUAAAAAGCUCGUAGUUGGAUUUCUGGUAGGAGUGACCGUUCCGAACUUGAUUGUUCGUGUAUUGUGUUUUCUCCAGCCAUCCUUGUGGAGAACUUUUCUUGCAUUAAUUUGUAGGGAUUGGGACCCGCAUCGUUUACUGUGAAAAAAUUAGAGUGCUUAAAGCAGGCAAUCGCUUGAAUACAUUAGCAUGGAAUAAUAAGAUAGGACUUUGGUACUAUUUUGUUGGUUUGCAUACCAAAUUAAUGAUCAACAGGAACAGUUUGAGGAUAUUCGUAUGAACAUGUCAGAGGUGAAAUUCUUGGAUUUUGAUCAGACGAACUACUGCGAAAGCAUUUAUCAAGGAUGUUUUCAUUAA
rnacentral:rRNA from 1 species